rnacentral:rRNA from 1 species
AUGUCAACCCGUGUGGCUCGAAGAUAUCAUCAACAUCUACAACACAAAUCCGUAGGCGCAACGGCUUCUAGAGCAGCUGGCCGUACGGGAAGAUCCCAAUGGACGAUUCCAAAUCCAGAAUGGACUCCUUCGAUUCAGGGGCCGCAUCUGGCUCGGUGGGACCACGGCUAUGCAACAACACAUAAUCACAGCUUUCCAUGA